UGGGGAAUAUUGCACAAUGGGCGCAAGCCUGAUGCAGCAACGCCGCGUGAGGGACGCCGGCCUUCGGGUUGUAAACCUCUUUUGGCAGGGAAGAAGCGAAAGUGACGGUACCUGCAGAAAAAGCACCGGCUAACUACGUGCCAGCAGCCGCGGUGAUACGUAGGGUGCAAGCGUUGUCCGGAAUUAUUGGGCGUAAAGAGCUCGUAGGCGGUUUGUCGCGUCUGCUGUGAAAACCCGAGGCUCAACCUCGGGCCUGCAGUGGGUACGGGCAAACUAGAGUGCGGUAGGGGAGAUUGGAAUUCCUGGUGUAGCGGUGGAAUGCGCAGAUAUCAGGAGGAACACCGAUGGCGAAGGCAGAUCUCUGGGCCGUAACUGACGCUGAGGAGCGAAAGCAUGGGGAGCGAACA
rnacentral:rRNA from 1 species